GAGCCUUGAUGUGUAGGAUAGGUGGGAGGCUUUGAAGCGUGGACGCCAGUCUGCGUGGAGCCAACCUUGAAAUACCACCCUUUAAUGUUUGAUGUUCUAACGUUGGCCCCUGACCGGGGUUGCGGACAGUGUCUGGUGGGUAGUUUGACUGGGGCGGUCUCCUCCCAAAGCGUAACGGAGGAGCACGAAGGUUAGCUAAUCCUGGUCGGACAUCAGGAGGUUA
rnacentral:rRNA from 1 species